UGGGGAAUCUUGGACAAUGGGCGCAAGCCUGAUCCAGCCAUGCCGCGUGAGUGAAGAAGGCCUUCGGGUUGUAAAGCUCUUUUACCAGGGACGAUAAUGACGGUACCUGGAGAAUAAGCCCCGGCAAACUUCGUGCCAGCAGCCGCGGUAAUACGAAGGGGGCUAGCGUUGUUCGGAAUUACUGGGCGUAAAGCGCACGUAGGCGGAUUUGUAAGUCAGGGGUGAAAUCCCGGGGCUCAACCUCGGAACUGCCCUUGAUACUGCAAAUCUCGAGUCCGAUAGAGGUGAGUGGAAUUCCUAGUGUAGAGGUGAAAUUCGUAGAUAUUAGGAAGAACACCAGUGGCGAAGGCGGCUCACUGGAUCGGUACUGACGCUGAGGUGCGAAAGCGUGGGGAGCAAACAGGAUUAGAUACCCCUGUAGUCCCUGAGCGGGCUGGCAAGGCGCAU
rnacentral:rRNA from 1 species